rnacentral:rRNA from 1 species
GAGUUUGAUCAUGGCUCAGGAUGAACGCUGGCGGCGUGCCUAAUACAUGCAAGUCGAGCGAACCACUUCGGUGGGAAGCGGCGAACGGGUGAGUAACACGUAGGUGAUCUGCCCAUCAGACGGGGACAACGAUUGGAAACGAUCGCUAAUACCGGAUAGGACGAAAGUUUAAAGAUGCUCCUGGCAUCACUGAUGGAUGAGCCUGCGGCGCAUUAGCUAGUUGGUGGGGUAAAGGCCUACCAAGGCGACGAUGCGUAGCCGACCUGAGAGGGUGAACGGCCACACUGGGACUGAGACACGGCCCAGACUCCUACGGGAGGCAGCAGUAGGGAAUCUUCGGCAAUGGGCGAAAGCCUGACCGAGCAACGCCGCGUGAAUGAAGAAGGCCUUCGGGUUGUAAAAUUCUGUUAUAAGGGAAGAAAGGUGAUAGGAGGAAAUGACUAUCAAUUGACGGUACCUUAUGAGAAAGCCACGGCUAACUACGUGCCAGCAGCCGCGGUAAUACGUAGGUGGCAAGCGUUAUCCGGAAUUAUUGGGCGUAAAGAGCGCGCAGGUGGUUAAUUAAGUCUGAUGUGAAAGCCCACGGCUUAACCGUGGAGGGUCAUUGGAAACUGGUUGACUUGAGUGCAGAAGAGGGAAGUGGAAUUCCAUGUGUAGCGGUGAAAUGCGUAGAGAUAUGGAGGAACACCAGUGGCGAAGGCGGCUUCCUGGUCUGCAACUGACACUGAGGCGCGAAAGCGUGGGGAGCAAACAGGAUUAGAUACCCUGGUAGUCCACGCCGUAAACGAUGAGUGCUAAGUGUUGGGGGUCGAACCUCAGUGCUGAAGUUAACGCAUUAAGCACUCCGCCUGGGGAGUACGGUCGCAAGACUGAAACUCAAAGGAAUUGACG